UGGGGAAUAUUGGACAAUGGGCGAAAGCCUGAUCCAGCCAUGCCGCGGGUGUGAAGAAGGUCUUCGGAUUGUAAAGCACUUUAAGCUGGGAGGAAGGGCAGUAAGCGAAUACCUUGCUGUUUUGACGUUACCGACAGAAUAAGCACCGGCUAACUCUGUGCCAGCAGCCGCGGUAAUACAGAGGGUGCAAGCGUUAAUCGGAAUUACUGGGCGUAAAGCGCGCGUAGGUGGUUCGUUAAGUUGAAUGUGAAAGCCCCGGGCUCAACCUGGGAAGUGCAUCCAAAACUGGCGGGCUAGAGUAGGGCAGAGGGGAGUGGAAUUUCCUGUGUAGCGGUGAAAUGCGUAGAUAUAGGAAGGAACACCAGUGGCGAAGGCGACCACCUGGGCUCAUACUGACACUGAGGUGCGAAAGCGUGGGGAGCAAACAGG
rnacentral:rRNA from 1 species